rnacentral:rRNA from 1 species
UGGUGGAGUGAUCUGUCUGGUUAAUUCCGAUAACGAACGAGACCUUAUCUUAUUAAAUAGUCCCAGGAAUUUCGAUUCCUUAGGGACUUCUUAGAAGGACUAUGGACGUUUAGUCCAUGGAAGUUUUAGGCAAUAACA